rnacentral:lncRNA from 12 species
GUUUGUGUGGUGUCCCAACAUGUGCACCCUUUGACCCUGUCUGUAUCUUUUCCUCAGGGAACACUGAAGGCCUACUUCAAAAAGUGUGACAGUGGUUUUGACCACAUCCUUGAAUCCUUAAAGCAAAGCUUUUUGACCUUUAGGAAGAAAAAAACAACUAUAUAUGUGGCCCUGGUCGAGGCUGUCAAUGCCAUCAUCAUUACAGAAUACAUGCAGGCCCUCCUGACCACUCCCAGGAAACCAUCUGCUAUGCAGAGGAGGAGGAUCGUCAACAAAAUAGAAGAAGAUCAUAGGAUGAUGCAAACCAUCUUUAAAGAGUGCUUAGGUCCUGCAGCUGGUUCUCUCAAGGAUCCCAUAAAAGCAAUUUUAGAACUUAUUCAAACUUCUGAUCCUGAGGGGAUGAAAAUAGCACUUCUGCCCAUUCUAAAAGAAUUUCCUUACCUCAGGUAAUGUCUUUAUUAGUUUGACUCUGUACUUUCUUACAUGAUUACUUGACACCAGAAGACCUACAGCAAUAUUAGUCCUGUGAUACUCUUGCAGUGUGUUGGGCCAGGCACAGAGACCCUUUGACUAUACUCACUGGUGCCUGGUUUAUAUCUUUGCCAGACAUGAACUGGCGAAGUUGAGAUGUCCUUCUGUAAAGGCAGAGGAUGGAUGAAAUUGCUGUCAACAAAGCAGAAAUGCUGUGGAAAAGUACUACCUUAAUGCAGAAUUUACAGGCAAAAAUGUGUCAAAUGUAGGUUUAAAGAACAUCCUUAACUUGGGCAUUUUAUAACUUUCAAACUCUUGGCUUUGGGCUUUGACACUUCACCAAACCUUGUAUAACUAUUUUCACAAGUUUCUAAGCAUAUUCAGCAAGAAUAUGCACUGAUAUUUCUUACAGAAAACAGAACUGAAUUAAAACACAGUUUUUACUAGGAAGGAGAGAUCUUAGCUAACUGCAUUUUUUCCAAAGCCUGUGGUUUACUGCAUCUAUCUUUUGUUCUGAUGUGCUAUGCCUGUGUUUUCCCAACUUAACGUGAUUGCAGUGUAGAGCUCUCUGUCACAGGAUGCUGCGAGGGCCAAAAAUGUGAAUACCUUCAAAUGUGGGACAGAAAAUUUGUGGUAGAUAAUUACUUAAGUGCCUAUUCAUCAUGACAGUCAUGAUAUAAACCUGCAGCAAGAGAAGUCUCUGGACUUCUUAGGAAGGACUGCUGCAUGCAAAGAAAAAAAAUAAAAAGAAAGACAAA